GGCGGCCGCGCCCCGGUCCUAUCGGCUCGGGGCGAGGAAAGUCCGGACUCCGCAGGGCAGGACGCUGGCGAGAGCCAGGCGGGGGCGACCUCGCGAAGGGGCAACAGAAAGCAGACCGCCUCGGCGCUUCGGCGCAGAGGUAAGGGUGAAACGGUGGGGUAAGAGCCCACCAGCGCGGCGGGUGACCGCCGCGGCUCGGCAACCCCCGUCCGGAGCAAGGCGAGCAGGGAGCGUUCGAGGGCGGCCCGCCCGAGCUUCCGGGUAGCCGCACGGCGCGGGCGAACCGCGACGCGGCGGGCGCGCGAGCGUCCGACCGAGACAGAUGGUCGCC
rnacentral:RNase_P_RNA from 1 species